GGCUGCACCCCCGUCUCCCCCAGGCUCUCAGGGCCGGCUCCUCGAGGAACGAGCUUGUCCAAAUGCUGAUGAGAGAGAAGGCAGCUGCGGGAUUUCACCUUUCCCUCCCAGCUGCCUCCCAAGCUACCUCCAGCUUCUCAUUAGACAUUGUUAGAUUACAGUUGUUGGAUUAGAGUCUGACCUCAGAUUGCAGCCACGUCCCGGUGGAGCAUUCCCAGAACUGCCGUGGUGCCUUGCAUUGGGUCCUCCACAAUAACAUUUAAGCAGUGCUUGCCUUUCUGGUUAGCAAAUCAUUUCCAAGUGUCUGAGGGGAAUAAUCCACCUUAGCGCCUGAGCAAUUUUGCUUAUGUGCCGGCAGGCAGGGCUCCUGGGCUACGAGAGGUCUAAAACAGGCCAACAUUUGUGCUGAUUACCAAUUAAUGUGCUCAUUGCUACUAAUUUUUUAAUGCAAAUUACAUCAACUUCGAGUGAAUGUUAACCUUAUCUAGCAGUCAUUUCUUGCCAUUGGCACAGCUGCUAACCAUGAGGGCUGCCUGGGUGGUGUCUUCUUGAGAGGUGAGGGAGUGGUGAAAUGAUGAUCGGAGCAACCC